AGGAGCCAGAGUAAACAAACACUCAAAAUCAAUCAAUAAAGAAGAAAACAUCAGCGUCAGCUACUGAUAAGUGUUACCAAGAAAAUACACCACGAUGAUGGGAUAGAGAAUGGAGAAGUGGGAGAGAGGACCGCGUGAGAACAGAAGUGAACCCCAUAUGCACAGAGAAGACACCGCCACUUCCUCUCUGCCAAUCCCACUGCGUGUCCUAGGAAUCUUGCUUUUCCUCCGGGCUCACCAGUGGAACCCAGUGUGAUUUGGAACCACACUUCACCAGGAAAACUAGGCCAAAAGGUUUGCUGCAACAGGCAUGGAUCUGCUUAAAAAUUACCGAAGAAAGAACAGGCUUGCUGGUCUAAUUGAAAACAACUGGGCGGGGACUUCUCUGCUGGUCCAGUGGUUAAGAAUCCCCUUUCUUAUCCGGGGGAUACGGGUUCGAUCCCUGGUCUAGGAACUAAGAUCCCACAUGUCUCGGGACAACUAGGCCUGUGUGCUGCAACCACUGGGCCCGUGCACCGCAACUAGAGAGAAGCCUGCAUGCUGCAAUGAAGACCCGACACAGCUAAAUAAAUGAAUAUUAAAACGAAAGAAAGAAAAUAACCAGGCAAGAUAAUUAGUCAAAACUCUCAGCCGAAACAAAUCAAGCUGUGGAAGAGCCCUUACAGCAGGGAGCCCGACCAGUCUCUGCCUCAUUGAUCCAGAGAAAUAAAUCCCUGAAGUGCUGAUGGCUCUGGGGGAGGCGGUGGGGAAGGGGAUUUGAGAAGUGGAGACAAGAUUCCACUCACAAGCCUUACGGUCAGAUUUUUCUGGGUUAGACUUCUUCCUCUGUCACUUGUUAGCAGUAUAACUCUGGGCAGGUGGCUUCUUUCCAGCCUCUCUUUCUCUACCUGAUAAAUGGGAAUAACAAUCAGGCUGUCUUCAGAGUGCGAGAAUUUAGGGAGAUAACAGCCCCAAGCCACGAGCUGAGUCUAGCUCAAAGUGAGUAUUUCACUGCUGUUUGCUAGUUUUCCUUCUUUCUGCCUUUUCUUACCCAAGUCUUUGUGAAAGACAACUUCUGAUUACCUUUAACUCCAAGGUCUGUCCCCUAACCCAGAGCACAAAACUGCUGUUGAGACUGCUGCCUGCCCCAGGACGGCACUCAAUGGCCCCAAGGGUGGGUCUGGAUGCCUGGAAGGAGUAACGCUCUCUUCCUGGCUGUCUGCUCCCAGUGGCUGCAGCCUCCAGGGGUGGAGGGGGUCAGCCUGGCCUGGAGUAUGCCCACCUGUCCCUCUCCCUGGGAGAUGGGGCAGGGGUGCAGCAGAGACCUGAACCACAGCUCCCGGCCCCACUGAGCCAACGCCCCUGUUUUGUCACCGAGUCUUCUUUUUUUUUUUUUUUGAUCUACAACUAGUUGUGAUUAAUGGUACCCUGUGGUUCCUCAUGCAGAAACAAGGUCAUGGUGAAGAUACGGUCGUUUUGAAACCCCAGUGAAGUUCAGGGGCCAGAGCAGAGUGGUAAUCACUCCGGUUUUGGCUCAUCUUCCUUCUCUGCGGCCUUCAACUUCAAGGCCAGGGGGCUGUCCCGGCCUCUCUGACUUCCUCUCAUGCAAAUCGCCCCAGUCGGGUGGGGGUGGAGGGCUGGCUCACCCAGAGGAGGGAAGUGAUGAACUCCGACCUCCCCAGACCUACUUUCUACCUCCAAGGCGAGCCUGGGAGACAGGUCCCCCCUGAACCCCGUCACCGCAGCCUCUGCAAGGACCUGCCUUGUUGUUUGAUGCUCAGUCAUGUCCGACUCUCUGUAACCCCAUGGACUGUAGCCACCAGGUUCCUCUGUCAGUGGGAUUCUCCAGACAAGAACACUGGAGUGGGUUGCCAUUUCCUCCUCCAGGGGAUCUUCCCAGUCCAGGGAUCAAACCUGGUCUCCUGCGUUGCAGGCGGCUUCUUUAUCGUCUGAGUCACCAGUGAAGACUUGAAUUAGCCACCCUUCUGAGUUCCCCCGACCCCGAUAAUUAUGAACUCCUGAGUGGACAGUCACAGACUCUGGGUAAUUAAAUUAUUAAAAUAAUAAGCCUGAAUCCUGGGUUGGUUCUCUUCUCGCCCAUUACAGAUCUGUUGACGUGGGGGAAUUCUGGUUGUCGACGUUGACAAUGUAUCUCUCUGUGGCUUAGGGAGGAACCACGUUGCAAAGUAUGAACUGGAACAGGGCACGAACCUAGCAGUCGAAUCAGGACUGGGCUGGGAUGUCCAGACUCCCAUCCACCCCCGGUUCAGAGACAGCAGUGGGAACUGGGGACCAGGUGACAGCUCCCACUGCCAGAGGCAGGCAGGGGUUAGUGGGGACCUUUAGUUCUGGAUCAAUUGUCUGCUGUUGCAUGUUCAUGCCUCUUCCAUUACCUGAAUGAAAAUAAAUGCCAUGCUUAAAAACUGCACGUCUCAAAAUCAAAGUCAUGCUCCUUCCUUCUGGAAGUUAUAUCCUUGUGCCUGGUUGGUACAGAGAAGGGGAAAAAAAAACACCAAAUCUCUUUCCAGGAUUUCUUUUUGUCCCUCCCACAAAUCCUCCAGCUUGCUUAACAAUGCAAGCCAUCCUCUCACCCAAGCUCUGGGUUUCUUUCUUGUGUUCAGAACGAAGAGGACCCUUGACUCUAAAAUGAAGCCCUAAGGGAGAAGAUGCCUGCUUGAAGCACCCCUUUCCUGUGUCUGAAAGCACAGGAGUUGUUUAUGGGCUUGUGGAACGGCAGUUUCAGGGUUUUCUGGGUGAGAGGGAUGCGUGGUUUCAGGAGGGCAGCCUCGCUCGGGGCAUGUGUGGUCUGUGAG
ensembl:lncRNA